UGGAAGGACCAUGUGUGCCCUGGUCUC
rnacentral:piRNA from 1 species